AAUGCUAUUAAUACUCUUUUUUUUCUUUUCUUUCAGCUUCAACAGGACUUAUGGUAACCUGGGUUACUCUCUCCUCCUGAACGCAUGCACAUCCCGCUGCACCUGCAUAUUUUUGGUCACAACCACAGGCACAUCAUCAACAGAAGCAACAUUCGUCUCCUCCAAAGAAGUGCUGAAUGCUACACUCAGACCUUGCAGCAGAGAUUGAAUCACCAUGCCUCCUAGGCAGGAAGCUUUUCUAAAGAUUCAGAACAGAGAUCAAAUCCUGGAUUAGUAUCACCUGGCUCCAGCUCAGCAGAAGGCAUUUCUACGUCUACAGACUCAGGUUCAACAGGACUUAUGGUAACCUGGGUUACAUUUACAACACAAUGUAAGACUUUGCCAAGAGAAAAGACCAACACUUGACUGGGGCAACAACAGCAAGAGACAUAGGUGCAAACAGUGAGCGAGGCACAUGGCCAAGAAAGAGCUGGAGCAGGAGUUGAAGAAAACAAGCCUGCCAAGGUUUUGUAACAGAUUCCCUGUUGGUUGUGUUGUAUGUGCAAACAACGACAGAUGGGAGAGUGAGACUUGGACCACGGAGUAGUGCAGGCAGUGCUAACGCACCCUUCAGAGCACUGGAUGGCACUAAAGCAUUAACUGGUGUGCGGGCAAGUGGCAGGAGUCAGAGCAGGAACAAAGACUGGAACUGGAUCUGAGACAGAAACUGUCGCUUUAACUUAUGUCCUAAGAAAAUGCAACGUCUAAUUAUGUGUGUAUGUGUGUAGACAAAUUUUAUAAUUUCAUUAGCUAAUCCCUAAUGUGUAUAAUACGUGACAUGAGAACCUGCAGUCUGGCAUUUUUUUUUACCAUUGACAAAUUCAGGAAAGCCAGAUAGCCUUAUAUCUCUUGCUUUCUGCGUGUUUGGAUUCUUCCGCCAGCACUAUCUUGUCUCACAAGGGCACACUCGUCCAUUCAUUGCUGUUGUUGGGGAGACAGAGCAUUGGUGACAAAACAAUUCAAGUUUCUGUGUGGGAAAGCAAAAAUCAAACCAUGGGGGGAAAAAUAACAGUGCAUGAGGAUGUCCUUAUGCACAUCCAUGGGUCACCCAUCAAGACUAACUGCAACCAGAUACUUUGUUGUACAAAAGGGAAGAUCUCUGGACUUCAGCAAAUUGCACUGGAAUUCUAUAUUAACAAUUCAUAAGAUUUUGUGGUUAUUUAUACACAGGAUUAUUGUUUUGGGUGGGUUGAAAGGUGGUAACAAUUCUAGUGACCCUAAAUUGCUCUGGACCCAAGUUUGAGUCCUGAGAAUUAUGUAACUGUACCAUUUUACUAUCCCACUUGCACAACUGUUUCCUAUGUUGCUAUGCACAACUUGUAAGACACCCUCCUCUAUCUCGCUUAUCAGUUACAAGGGGCCAACAUGGGACCACCAAUGCUCAGAUAUUACUUGGUGGGUCAUUGUCAGCAAAACAGUGGCACUGACACAGUAGUGACAUGGUGGCACUUUAUUUUUUAAACUCAGUUUGUGUUAUUAGACACACCUACCUUGAUGGUCCAUCUUGUAAGUGUACAGUUAGCGAAUAUAGGUCAUCUUAACACAGUUGGUGUUAAUCGUCCACUACCCCCUCAUCGGUGUCAGUUUCUAAGCAUAGCACUGCUGUUGGCAGGAUAUUUUAGGUUGGUGGACUGUUCUCAAACCAACACACACAGUAAAAUGCCACCAUGUUGUUGUCACAUGUCUGUGAUGGUCAUAUGGGGGUCCAUUUCCUUUGAUCAAAGGAGAAGCAGGUGGCUGACACAUUUUCUUAGCUAUGCAUGGGCUACAAUGUAUGGGUGUCUACUAAAUAAAAGAAAAAUAAAAUGUCUACUGAAUGUAUCUGCAAGGUAUUUUGGGUUGGAAAAGAACAAGUAACUGCAUGUACUGUUGUUACAGUACUGCUGUCAUUGUAAUAGUACUCUUCUGACUAUAAUUAAAUCGUAGUACUUUUACAUGAGGUCAUUUUUACAAUAAAAUAUUCAACUUAACUUUGGAAUAAGCCAAUUGAAAGUCACUAUGUGCAAAUUUUAAAUAACUCAAAUUCGAGAACCAUUUAAAAUAAAGCAGUUUCCUGUCGAAAGUCUACACUUCAGGCACCAAACGCUUACUCAGCAGCAGCAAUGUCUGAGACAGUGGAGACAGAUGAGCAAUUUAUGGCCCAAUUUAUCUUCAGUUUUAAAUGCGUAAAAUGAACAGUGUGAUAAUAACCUGCAAAUUAUGAGAGCCAAAACCUGUAAAGAUACCAGCAUUUCUCAGCUCAAUAUCUAACCUUUGGAAAACACGUACACAUAACCCAUUAGCUAGCUGAGUGAGCUAAACUAGCUUAGCCAGAUCUUUUGAUGUUUUACAGUGUGAAAGUGUAACUACAGUCUAUAGGAAACUCACAGGAUAAUGUGAAGGGACAUCUUUGCUAGAUAGCUAACGAUGUGUAUGAAUUAACAUGAGUUAGCUAGCAAGAUAACAUUUCUUUACAUACUGUUGAUAAUGGAGAUGGCGUUCACUUCGGCAUAGCUCACUUAGUUAACAUAAUUGUUCAAAAAUUGAUUCUGUGAAUAUAGAACAUUUUCUGAUUAGUUGUGACAAAUGUAGACAUAUAAAAACUUAAUUUGUAAAAAUGACUUAUUUACUGUUACUUGAGUAAUCUUCUUGAUCACUAGUUUUACUUUUACUCAAGUGAAUUCUUACUACAAUGGCAGUAGUUACUCAAGUCAAUGUGUUUUGUACUCUUUCACCAAAUGGGUGUACCUAAUACAGUGUAGUCUGAAUGGUUUUAUAUACCCUCUGUUGAUUCUGUACAUUAAUCAGUUUAUGUUUUACCCCAGAUAGUAAAUACAGCAAUGCAAUCAGGUUUUUAUUGUUGUCCAACAGAAAAAAUAACUAACUGGUAGGCAACAGUAAUCAUGAAUUCAGAUAUAGAACUAAAGCACUCUGGAAAUAGCUGGAAAUAGAUCCGUAUUUGAGGUAAAUGAUUCACUUUUGUCUUCUGAGGAUUUGGUUGUUGACACUGUGAAGGAGAUUUCCAUGUAGUCCUUAUCAGAGGAAUUAUUGUCCAGGUAACUGGUUAGGAAGUCAUAGAAAUACACACAGUCUCCACACAUAGGAGACAAUGUUUGCAAUGACAUCAGUGGAUGUUGGUGGACGUCCUCUUCUCGGUUGGUCCGCAACACUUCCAGUCUUUUUGAAUUUGUUAUUAAGUUUGGCAACAGUGUCAUGUGUGAUGUGCUUGUCAUGUUUCCUGUUAAAGUCCAUUGCAACAGGUUCCCGAUCCAUCUAUGAGAAUGAUUUCAAUAUGUUCUUCUU